CUGGCGGCGUGCUUAACACAUGCAAGUCGAACGGUAACAGGAGCAGCUUGCUGCUUGCUGACGAGUGGCGCACGGGUGAGUAAUGUAUAGGUGACGUGCCCCUCAGUCUGGGAUAGCCACUGGAAACGGUGAUUAAUACCGGAUACUCCUGUUCGCAGGGAAAGGUUCUUCGCUGAGGGAUCGGCCUAUAUCGUAUCAGCUAGUUGGUGAGGUAAGAGCUCACCAAGGCGAUGACACGUAGCGGGUUUGAGAGGAUGAUCCGCCACACUGGUACUGAGACACGGACCAGACUCCUACGGGAGGCAGCAAGUGAGGAAUAUUGCACAAUGGGGGAAACCCUGAUGCAGCAACGCCGCGUGGAGGAUGACGCAUUUCGGUGUGUAAACUCCUUUUAUCAGGGAAGAACAUGACGGUACCUGAUGAAUAAGCGCCGGCUAACUCCGUGCCAGCAGCCGCGGUAAUACGGAGGGCGCAAGCGUUACUCGGAAUCACUGGGCGUAAAGGACGCGUAGGCGGGUUUUUAAGUCAGGUGUGAAAUCCUA
rnacentral:rRNA from 1 species